UUAAUAAGCGGAGGAAAAGAAACUAACAAGGAUUCCCUCAGUAACGGCGAGUGAAGCGGGAAGAGCUCAAAUUUGAAAUCUCCGAUGCUUGCAUCGGCGAGUUGUAGUUGCGAGAAGCACUUUCUAGGCGGAUCGACGGUGCCUAAGUUGCUUGGAACGGCACGUCGCAGAGGGUGACAACCCCGUCUGUGGCGCCGCCGGCCGCCGACGAUGUGCUUUCGAAGAGUCGGGUUGUUUGGGAAUGCAGCCCAAAACGGGUGGUAAACUCCAUCUAAAGCUAAAUACUGGCGUGAGACCGAUAGCGAACAAGUACCGUGAGGGAAAGAUGAAAAGAACUUUGAAAAGAGAGUUAAAAAGUACGUGAAACCGUCGAAAGGGAAACGAAUGGACUCAGCAAUGCGCCCUCUGAGAUUCAGCCGGUGGGUGGCGGCGGCGCCGGGUUUGCGGAUCUGAAUGGACCGCGGCCUGGCGCCCGCCUCUCCCCGCCGUCGCACUUCUCUGGGGCGCGCGUCAACGUGGGUUGGGACUGGGUCUGAAAGGCGCCGGGAAGGUAGGUGUGGGCCUUCGGGUCCGUUCUGUUACAGCCCGGUUCUCUCAUGGCUCGGGCCCGACCGAGGAGCGACACGGGGCAUGCCUCCUGUGGCUAGGGUCCCGCCCUUCCGGCCGGCUGUCCAGUGCGGUGGACUGCUUGCAGUGCUCCGCGACGGCUGCCGGUCGUUGGGGUGGUGAUCUCGUACCAUGCCCCUAGGAUGUUGGCGG
rnacentral:rRNA from 1 species